UUGAAAGGGGAAGGAGCUUUGAAAGGAUGCAUGCCUGCAGGGCAGCAGAGAUCAAAACACUGAGCAAUCAGGGUAGGCAUUGUGGGAUAUUGGCAGAAGCCAGUUCUGUCGACAAAAUAACCAGCAAUCUCUACACUGGCUGUUUGUCGACAAUAAAGGGCGAGGAAAAGACAAAAGUCUCUCGAAGGGGAGGAAGUUUUUUGUCACCAAAAUGGUGUUUUUCUCAACAAAAGGUUCCAUUGUACUGUGUCCACUCUUGCAGUUUUUGGCGACAAAACUUGCCAGUGUAGACAAGCCUUAAGAGUGCCUUAUUUCUCUUUUGCUUAACCCACAUCAGAAAAAACAUUAUUCUGGAAUAAGAACCCAUUACUGUGGAAUUAAUUAGGGAUAGUGUAAGGGUCCGGUGCUGGGGCUCGUCCCCCUCAGGUGCGGCGGGGAGCCAGGGCACCUCCCUAGAUAGUUAAUCAGGGAUUUCUCCAUGUUUAGACAAGCCCUGAGACAUACGCAGAAGUUAGCUAAAAAUCUUUGUUCGGUUAUUUUUAUUUAUAUACAUUGCACUCAGGUAACCCCUUAGUAUUAGUAAAAAUAUUGUAGGACGUCCCUCUAUGGAACUCCCAUCAGCACUCCAGAGGGCCCUGGGUUUUGUGUUAAUUUAAGUUCCUAUUCUGUCAGCAAUAAUUGAUGUGAUUGCUCAAAACAGCAUUUUACCAAGGUCCUGAACAUCCCCCAUCACAUCCCCUGCUUUCAUCCCCAACCCACUUGUUUCCCACCCCGACCUACUCCUCCAGGAGCCCUUCCCUGGGAACUACUCCUCCAAGUUUGCUGCCUGAACCCCAGAUCUGCUCUUCCACUGCCCCCCUGCGAAUCCACACAGCUCUUCCCCAUCCCCUCCACUCGCUACCCUCCAUUCCGCACCUGCCCCGCGCUCAGCAUCUUCUCCCCCUCCCGGCGCUGUCGCUGCGGUGCAGGACAGGAUACAGGACACAGAACACAGCGAAACUCCGAGCGAAGGGCAGAAGCUUCAGCUGGGCUUCACUUCUCUACUACGCAUGCGCACAUGCUUUGCGCAUGCUCCUUGGAGCCGCAGCAGGGGGUUGCGCGUGCGCAGACGGUAGACACAAUUCCACCUGAGGCCGCGCACUCCCCCUCCCCCCCCCGUUGCCCUGACUGCUGUGGUGUCAUCGGCGCUUGGCCGCUCUCAGCUGCUGUGACUCGAGUGCCUCCGCGGCCUGCCAUGCCCAUUGCUCGGCUCGCGCAGCACUGAGGGAGCCGCCGGUCAUGGCAGAGUUCCCGCCAGUGCCGCUCGCCCUGCGGGAGGAGCCCCCGGCCGCCCGCUCUGGCUCCGAGUCCGAGUCGGAGGCCGAGCUGUCGCAGAGCUUGGCCCGCACCAAGAUCCGCUCCUACGGCAGCACGGCCAGCGUGGCGGCCCCCUUGGCGGAGCGCUACCUGGAGCAUCGCCUCAGCGCCGGCGACACGCUGCAGGGCAUCGCGCUCAAGUAUGGAGUUACGAUGGAACAAAUAAAAAGGGCAAAUAAACUAUUUACUAAUGACUGUAUAUUCCUGAGGAAAACCCUGAAUAUACCAGUUAUAUCAGAGAAGCCGUUAUUGUUCAAUGGACUUAAUUCGCUGGAAUCGCCUGAGAAUGAAGUUAUUGACAUUUCUCUUUGUGGUGAAGGACCAAUGACAGUUCAGGAAGAGAGCAGUUCUUCUCCCAGUCCUCAGGAACCUGACAAUCAACCUGCUGCACCUGAAGAACUAUCUGCCAAAGAUUUUCUACAUAGACUGGAUUUGCAGAUUAAGUUGUCCAAACAGGCAGCCAGGAAAUUAAAAGAUGAAGAUAUCAGGGAGUAGAAGAAUGGAUCUGAGGUCUGAGUAAAGAAGACUCCAGCAAUAGAGGAUUGGCUCCAAAAUUCAAAAAACUAUCACCUUUCUUCUGUCAGCAUGCCUAGGCUAGUGUAACAUGCAGGCUAAUGGGACAUGGCAUGUGUUCUCCAGUACCAUCAGCCAAAAGAGAAAUGUAGAGAGACAGCAAUGAACUGAAGAAGCCUUUGAGGAUAUGUUACAUGUUCCAAGAGCUAUUAACUCAAGGGCUUUAAUUAGUGUUCCUUUUACAACUGUUGGAUGCUUGGUACAAGUGGGGUUAAAGUAUCAAAUGAAUGCUCAUUGUCAUGUGUGCUGUAAGCAGUGACUAGUGUUCAUUAUUUGUGGGUGAGAAGCAUUUGUACAGAAAUCUGUGCAGAUGUCCUUCUAUACCUGCAGUUUGUGUUGGGCUGAGGGUGGCAGGUGCAAAUUGGGAUACACAGCACUAUAAAAAUGUUGUAAUGCUUUCUUUCCAUUCUCUUUUCCUGAAGGAGAAAGUGAGAAAGUAACUUAUCACUUGUCUUCAUUUUAGUGUAUUUAAAAAUCUCUUUAAUAAAACUUUCCAUUUUGUUUUUAAUGAAAAAAUGUGUGGUCACUAAAAUCUGUGGCAAACUUAUGUAUUAAUAUUGUGAUGUGUGCAAGUGUUCAUUUGGGGCACUUGUCUCUCUGAAAGGCAUAAUAUAUGCAGCUUGAAUUACCUUCACCCUUUGGUAGAAGAUGUAUAUCUUAAAUCUGCCCUCGUACAGCCAUAACUUGCGCUUCUGAAAAUUGUUUUUUUAAAUUAAAAGAUAACUUCUGUGGUUUUGAAUCAUAACUGGCGCAGAGUUUCUCAUUAACCGUAGUACUAGGGAGAGUAUGGAGCUCAGUUUUGAA